AACCCCUUCCCUUCUCCUUCACUUUCACGUGAACCAGGACCCUCAACCCUCAACCUCAUUGUUGCUUCCGCCACGCCGCCAAACCAGUCGUCGGAGACCACCGUUGUCCCUCACCGCAGCUUCAAACGCCGGUAACUCCUCCAUCUCUUGCUUCAUUGUUCUUGCUUCUCCUUCGUUCUUAUUCUUAUCCUCUUGGUUGUUUUUGUUGCUCUCUGCCGCCACCACCACUGCGCAACUGGUUGCGCCGCACCAUCACAGCCACCGUGCACUGUUGCUGCACCGCCCAACUCGCCAACCAACGUUUUCCAUCAUCCUCUUUCUUGUUUCUUCAUUUUCACGACAGCAGCCAAGCACGACUAAGUGCGACCACCGUAGUCACCACCACCAGGCUCCAGCCGCGUCGCCCGUUCCCCGCGACCACCGCCCUGUGCCGCGCCGCCUGUGCUCCGCCGGCCAGCCUCCUCUCUCCUCUUUAAUUCUUGGUGGAGAAUUCUCCGUAGGCGACUUUUGAAUUAUUAAAGUGGUCUUGCAGUUUGUUUACACAAGUCUCUAAGGAUCAAUAAGCAUUGUCCAUCUGCAGGUUUGAAGAUGUUGCAUCAUUGGGAUCGGGAAUAGAGAGCUUGUAUUUAGUUUUGAUUUGCUAAGUUGACUUGGGUUUGUUUAAUUGGACUUUAAACUGGUCGUACUAUUUAUAUUUCCUUAUUUUUUUGUUUAUUGGUUUUUGGGAUUAAACCUGUAAUCGAUUAUUUAUAAACCUAAAAUUAGUUUUA